GACGAACGCUGGCGGCGUGCUUAACACAUGCCAGUCGAACGGAAAGGCCCUGCUUUUGUGGGGUGCCCGAGUGGCGAACGGGUGAGUAACACGUGAGUAACCUGCCCUUGACUUUGGGAUAGCUUCAGGAAACUGGGGCUAAUACCGGAUAGGAGCUCCUGCUGCAUGGUGGGGGUUGGAAAGUUUCGGCGGUUGGGGAUGGACUCGCGGCUUAUCAGCUUGUUGGUGGGGUAGUGGCUUACCAAGGCUUUGACGGGUAGCCGGCCUGAGAGGGUGACCGGCCACAUUGGGACUGAGAUACGGCCCAGACUCCUACGGGAGGCAGCAGUGGGGAAUAUUGCACAAUGGGCGGAAGCCUGAUGCAGCAACGCCGCGUGCGGGAUGACGGCCUUCGGGUUGUAAACCGCUUUCGCCUGUGACGAAGCGUGAGUGACGGUAAUGGGUAAAGAAGCACCGGCUAACUACGUG
rnacentral:rRNA from 1 species